rnacentral:lncRNA from 1 species
UCCUCUAAAACUCGGACUUUGCCACCCUGUUCGGGUCCAAACCUGUAUUCUUUUCAAUUCAACAUACCCUUUCUCAUCAUCAUAACAACCACCACAAUAAAUCUACCUCAAAUCAACAAUUAAACUUAUACAAUAUUCAAAUCCAACAACCAAAAUUCAACUAAGGAUCAUAGUUCACAAAUCCUAGGCUUUUAACACA